GAAAUCUGAAAGGCAGGAACUUGCCAAGAGCAUUGUGUGCAUUACCUGUAGGCUGUGAAGAGCACAGGUGACUCAACCUGAAAAACUGGCUUGAAGUGGAGUGUGUGCAUGAUGGCGAAUUCUGAAACUCUUUAAUCAGGUCUCUGCAAAAGUUAGAUAAUCAUCCGUGUUCACAUCUACAGAUGUUCUUACACUGUUCUGGAACUUACCAAGGAAAAAUCUUACAAAUAUGAUACCAAAUAAAAACAAAGCACUGGGAUUCUGCUGAAGAUAAAGUACUUUUGCCUAUACUGUGAGAGAAGGAGAAACCAGAAGCUGCCGGAAUAGCAGCACCUUUUUGCCUCUUGGAACCACUGCCCAUCGAAAGAGAAGUAAGAAAGGGACUGUCAAGAAGUGGAGUGAGAAGAAGACAAAUACAUCAGCAGAACCUCUCGGACAAGUCAACAGCUGUGCCAAAAUGACAACGUCUGCACCACUGCUUACAACUACUAGUAAUGUAACAAAUACAACCACAGCAUCCACAGAAGACAUACUUUUUCAGAGUGCUGGAGCAAUAGUGGCAGCAAUCGUGAUAGGAAUUAUUGUCGUAUUCACAAUCGUCCUGUUUUCACUGAAAUCAUACAACAGACGGACAAGAGUGAGAAAAGAACUGGGAGAAACUGUCAGGAAGAAUCCACUGUCCCUCAUCAACCCAUCUGCACAUAGCAGUGCUGGAAGUCAGCUAACAACGAUGUCAUCCAUGCCUUCAGAUAUUCCACUAGAACAUCGAUGACAAAAUUUACUUUCUGCAACGUUGUUUCAAAAUAUAACAUCUGACAAAUAACAAAACUUUGCCUCAAAAACUAUUAAAUCAACAUGGUACAAUGUUGUUUACAGGACUUUUCUGAUGCCUCAGUGCAGCUGAAUGUUGGAUGAUAUGAAGCAAGACUUUAUUUUGCACUUUCUUGAUUUGGGGCAUCCAAUUGAAGUAGAGUGAAGCUGUUAAAAUAUUAUGAACCUGCAUAUAAGAUUUAAGAUAUAUACCUACUGUGCAUCUGUGAAUAUGUGUUUAACUCCAGCAACCUGAAGUGUUUCUUUCUCAUUUUGAAUGUUUCUGUAUAUUUUUACUGGACACUUGAAAAUUGUAAAUGCCUAAUAUGUACAUAAUGUCAAGCAGCAUUGCAUUGUCCUGAUAUCAUUUUGUUGAGUCAAUUCUACACAAUGAAUUCUUUCAGAUCCACAGACCACAGUGUUCUCAGCUUUAUCCUAUGCUUCUGUCAUUCCAACAAUUGUGCCAAUGUUCGUACCCAACAGGAGUCAUACUAAUUCCUUCACAUUCCAGACAACAUUAUUCUGUUUAUCACACUAGCAACUUAUAAAAUUUCAUGAUCACAACUAAAAUUGACACACACACUCAUACACAGAAAGAAGAAAAAAAACAUAAAACAAAGUAAAAUUGCAUAUUGUUUCUGAUCUUGAAAAUGUUAGUACUGUUGAUUUCCACUUGCCGAUUUCUGUAGCUAGGCCAGCAUGGUCUCUGAUAAGUGGCUACAAAAAAAUUCCCUAUAAUGUAAUGAUCACAGAUAAAAAAAAAAAAAAAAAAACAGAACUAAUGCCAGUCUACAAACAUUGUCACGUUUGGCCAAGUUCUGAAGCUAAUAAUAAAUGACAAUGCAGCUAAGUGAAACCAUCUCAACAGAUGCAUCAAAUAGCCUUUUUAACAUACUAAUCAAAGUACUUAUGUAAACAGCAAAGAUGAAGUCUAAGUAAAAGUACUUGUAUAAACAGAAAAUAUGAUGUCUGCCUAAAAAUACAGUUACUGACAACUUUACAGUGCAAUGUAAAAGUUGCCAAAACUCUGUCAAUCCCAACCCUAUUUUUCCCCAUUAAUUUCUUCAGACCUACACAGAUACAUGAAAUUGUGCAGAUAUGCAUGUGCACUUUCCUACUACACCAUCCACAGAGAGUAUUUUGUUGGUAAUUUUGUUCCCCGUGCGAACGGAGCAUUAAGCCAUUUGUUGAUUAGUAUCCUUUCAUUCCUCCACUCCGAUGACUUCAUCCACAGCCAAGGCAAGAGUUGGUUGGGGGGGGAGGCAGCAUUCAGGUAGCCAAUGGGGUGCUUUGUGCUCUUGCAUCCUGGCAUUGACAGCAUUUUAGAUAUACCUAAUCCCACCAUUUGCACAGGGGGACAUAAGAAUUUCUUACUGCUAGGAAGAUCAUCUCUUGAGUUUCUCAGCCUUUUGGCUAAAAUCCUGUGUAGUGCAUUUUGGGGAGUUUUUUUUUUAAAUGCUAUGUACUACCUGUAAAACAGGUGACCAGGAUAAAUUUAUUUCAGUUUACUUAUCCAACUCAUAUACUGAUUUCAUUUGUUUGUGCCAAAAUUAUUAUGCUAAUGAAAAAUAAGCCACUCGCUUAUUAUGUCAUGGGACAAGAGGCAAUGUUUUUUGAAUCUCACUGGACUCAUUAACUUUCUCUGUCCUGUCGUCUUGUACUAUUUCCAAAUGUUGCCGUCAUGGCAAUGAGCUAAAAAGGAGUUGUUUUCUUGCUAAACCCAUACAGCACUACCAGUACUGAUGUAGCAACCCCAUGUCCAAAUAACUAAUAUGUAAGUCUGAGACAGAAAGGCUUUUGAAACGUUCUGCUUAUCUGUGAAAACUGCAGCACCUUAAGGUUUCACUGUAGUUAAAACUUGGAGCUCAGGGGAAGGUUAAUUGGCAUUUUUUUUUUCUUUUUAAUUUUAUUGCUUUUAUUUGCUAAAAGAGAAUACCCAUUAAGCACAACAGCUACUUUUCUAGGGUUAUCACACAGUAAUUUCCAGUAAAUGAUGGCUCAAAGUCAAACAAUAGGCAAAAAAAGACCGAAGGGAUCAAACCCAGUACUACAAAUGCACCAAGUGAGCUCUGUUGCUGCAAACUAAAAAAAAAUAACAAAACAGAAGCACUCUGUUUCUGACAGAGAUUUUCUGUAACCAUAAAUUGUUUGCCUUUUACAUUUAUAGAUCAGUCAAAUUUUGUCUGGUUAUAUUGACUGUACAGCAGGUAUACAAUGAUCUUUACUGUGGGUGAAAGUUGUCCAUUAGACCAGGCCAUUUGCCUAACUAAUAUACAAAAAUAAAUACAUGCAGGUCUUUCUAGCUUGUGUUAACUUAAAAUAGUCCUCUAUCAGAUGAAAUGGCUAAUUUUGCUUCUUUUCUUCAUAAUGUGAUGAAUUUAGAGGCAGAUUAUUUGUAUUGGUCACUUCUGUCAUACCCUGGCCCACACUGGACUGCUUCAAAAGGCAGUUCAAUGUCAGCUCCUUUGGUUGAGAAACAUAAAACCACUACCAGCUUUAUAUUUCCCUAGCAAUCCUAAAACAUAGUAACGGGGCACUACAUAGCUAUUUAUCCAUGGUUCGCAAGAUGUAAGAACCAUGGCAUUUUUUGCUUGUUACUGUACUCUUGAAAGACACAGCUCAAAAUCAGUCUUUGCCUUUUGUUUACUAUAUAAUCUAUUUUCAGUGUUAAGUUUAUUCUGUCAGUUUUGUUUCAGUUUGUGACAUUUCUGUCUUUUUCCAAGCUGUUCAUUGGAUACUGGUGACCCCAGCACCCUUCUGCCAUUACAAGAAAAUAUUUGUGUAUAUGAAAGUAUAUUCUGCAUACCUCAGACAGUAUAGGGCAACCAAUGGGUCAAGAUCAGUGAAUACUCAAACUUCUUCACUGAAUUCAACUUUAAAUGAACAGCAACACCUGGGCAAAUCCCCAAGUGUUUUCUUCUGCAGAUGGGAGAUACCCAAGAUGCACUACCCACAUGUUUUCUGCAGUGUUGUCCACUUCAGUUUGCCAUCCUUUAAUUCAGUGCUGGGGAAAUAGCAGAUACAUAUUAAAAAGUGUAAGCCUUUACCCGGUCUCAUGGCACAAAAAAAAGAGCCCUGUCUGCACCCCAGAUGACCCAUAUUCAACUAGCAGCACAGCUCUGGAGGGACUGGGCAGGGGAGAUGAGGAUUGAGUCGCUGAUACUAACUCACCCAUCCUGGGGGAAGGGAGGCAUCCUAUUGCAAGAAUGCAGUUGCAUCACCACAGCUUGAACAGCCUAGCUCAUUUAUAUUGGAACCUGUGUGCUACUUGACUGGAAGGUUGUAUAUGCAUGGAAACAGGAGUGCAUCUCAAGAGAAAGCUAUAGUAAGGCUUGCAGAGCUACCGUGAGAGUAAAGAUAAGAUGCUUUACAAGAUAUGUGCGGACUGGCCACUCUCUAACAGCUGACAUAUGCCUCCAGUGGGGACUUACUUGGAUAGGGGAUUAUCAUCAUGGGAGAGGAACAAAUGGUUCAAGUGGGUGCAGGGAGGGGAGGCACUGAGCCAAUCCUGUGGAUGGCAAAAAAAGAAAAGAAAAAGAAAUGAUAAUAAAACCUGUAAGCCUUCCUCUGAGUAGAACAAGAUGUUACACAGACAUUUGUUCUUCUCCCUUUUGACUUGAUUAAUGAAAUGUCCAGAUGUUUUCCUAUGCAAGUCACAGGGAUGGUAUGUGGUUCAAGUGCACUGGGAGAGCUUUGCCAGGCAUACACUAAUCUGGUAAAUUGCUUGCAAGCUCAAACUGGUAAAAAGGCACUCUUGAAGUGACUCCCUCUUGCAUUACCAGUAUGAGGUGCCAAACAUCACUUAUUUAAAUAUACUAACUUCAUGGCUGCACACACAUGGGGACAAGGCAAACACCAUGAAUACAUCAACAUUAUAUUCAUAAACAUACACUUAGCACUGGUGCCCUCAUAUUUCUUUCACUUACACUGUUAAAUUCAGUUUUGCAUACACUUUUUAUCAGUUUCAAUAUCUUUUACAGUGUGCCAUACCCUAUUUAUCUAGUUCAGCACCACAGUAAACCACAUCUGACUAUCAACUAAAGACAGCAUGGUUGACAGUGCAAGUAUGAUAACAGUAGCUUUCAUACACACUACACUUUAUACUUUGCACGCACGACAUUAGCACUCAUGUGAGCUCCCCAUAAAGAAGUAAUGUAGGAUACUGUACAAGAUGUUUGCUUUUUGUGCUCCCAGGCUGGUUGCACUUCACACCAAGCAUUGUUUCAAAGUGUUUACUGCAAACUAAAAUCUAAUUCAUUCAUUCAUUCUUUCUUUUUCUUUUAUUGCUCACUUUAUCCAAAUCAGGGAUGAGUUGCAGCAGGAGCCUAUCCCAGCACUCAUUAGGUGGAAGGAAAGAACCUAAUCUCAGGUAGGAUGCAGUCUGCUGCAGGAUACACACACACACACACACACACACACACGCAUGCACAUGUGAACACUUGCUAAUACAUGUGUGCACGUACACACACACACACACACACACACACACACACACACAUCUGUAUCUCUCAACCUGUCACAUCAAGAAUCAAGGACAAUAUUAUAAAUAAUCAAGGAUAAAGGCCCCGGAUAUGAGACACAAUUUUUAAAUAUGGUACUAUUCAGUCAGGAUGUUGAUAUAAGAGAAUUUGCAUGAAUGUACAUUUUUGAAGAAUGUGAAGUCUGUAAUUGUGAUGCAUACUGUUUGUGUAUUCUACUCAUCAUUAUUCUGUCCCAGAUUCAAAACUUUUAGAAUAGACAGAAAAAAAAAAUUGUACCAAAAUCAGGGACAUACCUGAAUAUAUUGCACAGCUGAGAGGCAUGUCCUUGGACAAUUCUAAGUUUCACUAAUUCAACUACAGCAUGUCUUUGAGAUGUACAAAGAAACUGUAACAGCUAGCACAAACUUGUACAGACACAGAAAAGACAAGCAGACACCACAUAGAAGGCACCCUAAAUGAGAAACAAAUUGGAAAAAUGCUCUGAGGAAACAACAAUAAUCAUUGUGGUGCCACAAAGUAAAAUUUACAAAAAUACACAAACAGGAAAACUCAUGUAAUCUGAACUACAUUAGAAAGAAACUGAUAUAAUGAACACUUUAUUAAAAAGAAAGAUUUUUUUAUUAAUAUAAUGAAGAAAAUCUUGCUUGAUUGCUUGGUUUAAAAAUAUCACAUUAAAACAAUGCAUUCUCACUAAAAAUAUAUUGUCCAGGCCAUCACAGUCAUGUAAUUAAUAUAUUAUGACUCCAACGUAAUAUAUAGAGCAUUAGACUUGUACAAAGGUAUUGCAGGUAUUAUGUCUACUUCAGUGUUGCCAGAAAUGGAUGCAUUAUUAUUCACAAACAAAAAUAUACACCCUGCCACCCUGUGGAUUAUCAGAUGCAUUGGCCAUUUCUUACCUCUUACUCAUGGAAAUGAAGGAAACAAAACUUAAAUGAAGGGAAUGAAAAAUAUGUCAUCUUUUAUUAAGUCAGAAGCAUAGAAACACUAUAGAAUCUAGUGUUAUUUCUUGUUUAUAUUUCAAUUUUGCUUUAGUGCCAUAGGCUAGCAUACUUUUAAAAAAAUAGUUUACACUGCCUCUUUUGUGGGCAGCAAUCCUACACUAUGUGACAAAUGUAGGACAGGUAAUUUUCUUGUUUACUUCUUUGCUUGUCUUUAACAAAAGAGCAUUGAUUUAUAAAAGUAAAACAAGUUAUACCUCUCAUAAUGAGACACAUUGUGUAAGUUUAAUGCAUCCUUUCUUUUCCCAGACCUUUUUCUGGUGUUUUUUGGUCCAGACAUAAAUCUGUGUGUUAACACGCAGAUUUCUUGGUCCAGACAUAAAUCUGUGUCUUAACAUGCAGGUAAUAAAGGUUGUGUACUAAAGCUAUUAUUGUAUAAAACAGUCUAACUUUAAUACAAUUUCAGUUAAAAAGAAAGUACAAGUAAGGUCCGUCUCCAAGAAACUGACUCAGGAUUUUGAAAGACUGUGUAAAUAAAGCCAUCUGGCAUCUGUUACUCAGAAGUGGAUCUCAUUCUCAAAUUAGGAUAUUAGCUCUGGGAAGGUAUUUGAAAAUCAUUACGUUUGAGUGCCUGGGUAAGACAAGGAUGCUAAAAUCCAGAAAUCAGUCAAAAUAGUGAAAAGCAUAAAAAUAUAUGGACUUUGUAAGGAAACAGUUCUCUCCUAUUUUAUAGCUGCAGACUGCCCUGUGUAAGUGUUUGAAUAUAAAAGGACAUGGAGGAGACUAUUAAAACACAUCACAUAAUAAUGUAUUAAUAGUUGUUAUACUUUAUUGUUAGAAUUGUAAAAAAAUAAUGUAUAAAGAGCUCUGUGGCUGUAACCGUUUUUUUCUGAAGGAACUGUGUACAUGUACUGUGUAACUUGGAAAGCAAAGAAUUAAAAAAAAAAAUGCA